AGUGAACGCUGGCGGCAGGCCUAACACAUGCAAGUCGAACGGAAGCACAGUAAGAUCUCGCUCUUACGGGUGGCGAGUGGCGGACGGGUGAGGAAUACAUCGGAAUCUAAUUUUUCGUGGGGGAUAACGUAGGGACACUUACGCUAAUACCGCAUACGACCUACGGGUGAAAGCAGGGGAGAUUCGCACCUUGCGCGAUUGAAUGAGACGAUUUCGGAUUAUCUAGUUGGCGGGGUAAAGGCCCACCAAGGCGACGAUGCGUAGCUUGUCUGAGAGGAUGGUUGGCCACACUGGGAAUGAGAGACGGGCCAGACUCCCUCGGGGGGCAGACGGGGGGAAAUUUUGGCAAUGGGCGAAAGCCUGACGCAGCAACGCCGCGUGGGUGAGGAAGGUCUUCGGGUUGUAAAACCCUUUUUGUGGGGAAGAAAAAGUAUGUGAUUAACUCCCCGCUUUUUGACGGUACCCAAAAAAAAAGCCACGGCUAACUUCGUG
rnacentral:rRNA from 1 species